AUACGGAGGAUCCGAGCGUUAUCCGGAUUUAUUGGGUUUAAAGGGUGCGUAGGCGGCCUUUUAAGUCAGCGGUGAAAGUCUGUGGCUCAACCAUAGAAUUGCCGUUGAAACUGGGAGGCUUGAGUAUGUUUGAGUCAGGCGGCAUGCGUGGUGGAGCGGUGAAAUGUUUUGAUAUCCCGCAUAACCCCGAUUGCGAAGGCAGCCUGCCAAGCCAUGACUGACGCUGAUGCACGAAAGCGUGGGGAUCAAACAGGAUUAGAUACCCUGGUAGUCCACGCAGUAAACGAUGAUCACUAGCUGUUUGCGAUACAGUGUAAGCGGCACAGCGAAAGCGUUAAGUGAUCCACCUGGGGAGUACGCCGGCAACGGUGAAACUCAAAUGAAUUGGCGGGG
rnacentral:rRNA from 1 species